AGCAGCCGCGGUAAUUCCAGUUCCAAUAGCGUAUAUUAAAGUUGUUGCAGUUAAAAAGCUCGUAGUUGAAUUUCGGGAUCAAUACGUCGGUCGUGCUUCGGUACGUACUGGCGUCAUUGAUUUCUCCCUUCUGACGAACCAUGAUGUCAUUAACUUGGUGUCAUGGGAAAUCAGGACUGUUACUUUGAAAAAAUUAGAGUGUUUAAAGCAGGCUCACGCUUGAAUACAUUAGCAUGGAAUAAUGAAAUAGGACGUUCGAUCCUAUUUUGUUGGUUUUUAGGAUCAACGUAAUGAUUAAUAGGGAUAGUUGGGGGCAUUAGUAUUCAAUUGUCAGAGGUGAAAUUCUUGGAUUUAUUGAAGACUAACUACUGCGAAAGCAUUUGCCAAGGAUGUUUUCAUUAAUCAAGAACGAAAGUUAGGGGAUCGAAGACGAUCAGAUACCGUCGUAGUCUUAACCAUAAACUAUGCCGACUAGGGAUCGGAUGAUGUUAAUUUUUAAUGACUCAUUCGGCGCCUUACG
rnacentral:rRNA from 1 species